AAAAUGCUUAAACGGACAUGCCGAGGGCUAGUUUUAGGGUCCAGUCUAAUGAAAAUAUUUCACUUUUAAAAGUUUCCAGUGGAUAGAUUUGACCUGGGAUCUGAUCCAGAGGAGAAACAGAGGAAGUCAGAGGGGAGUUGGCUUUCAUACAUCUUAGUGAAACAGAAACCACGCGCCAGCUGAUGUGCAGGUAGAUGUGUGCUGGCGGUCGUGCCGGAGUUGCCCUGUCGCAGAUGGCAUUACAGCUGCCUGGGUGGUACAUCUACACAAUAACCCCACUAUUAUAUUGCAAAUCCAGAGGACCAGGACAAACCGGUUGUGGCAAAGCAGACACUUAGAGUCUGGUAUUGGCAUAAUGCCUUGUUCUGAGGCACUUUUGUGAGCCAUUAUAAGAAAGAUCAUGUUAUUCUUAAUUUCCAGACACACCAAAAGUGAUUUACACAACUUUUUUACUACAGGCACAAUCAAUCCUUUUGGGGUUUGAACCUACAACCUUUUGGUUUACCAGUCCAAAUACUAAGCCACAACCCUUGUGUAAGCAAAAUGUUAAACUUGCAACAUAAAGUCGGGUUCAAUUUGCAGCUUAUUCCAGCCAAGAACGGCCACUAAGUUGACCGACAUGUGAAGAAACCAACUUUUUUGUUUUGUUUUUAUGUGUUGUUUAGAGGCUUAUUGUUGUUUAGGGGGUUUAUCUGAAAUACAUUAUACCACAGUAAGAGACUUCAUUGCAAAAACUUAAUCAAAUAUGCCUACCACAAAACAACAUGCAGCCAAUGCUUUCAUAUUGCUCAAGUUCUGAAAAUAUCUUGCAUUCCUGUUAUUGUGUGGGACGACUUUUAACAUCAAUAAAAUCUCUUGGUUG
ensembl:lncRNA